CUCUUAUUCUCUUCUCCCCUCCCUGCUGGCUGGUGGUAGAUAGGAUGGACACUGUGGGGAAGCUACACCCAAAGGAAGUCAGAGCAGCAAGAUGGAAGUAGCCUAAGACCCUGAAAAAUGCACAGAGAAGAAUCACCCGACUGGCUUGUACUUUCAUGUGAAAGGAAUGAACCUCUGUCUCAGUAAAGCCACCGUGAUUCAGGGUCCUUGUCAUAUUCACUGAGGCUGUAACGUAAUUGUUAGAAAGAAUAGGAGGGGAGAUGGAGUCGGAGAGGCAGGCAGAGGUAGAUCACAUCAGGCAUGUAGGCCAAGGCGGAGGAAGAAACAGGCGACACAGGACUCAAGGACCACACCUGCUCCCAGGCGAAGGGAGUUUGCUGUGGGUGCCCCUCCCUGUCCGUGUGUCCAGUGUGUGGAUAUUCUUUAUACCUUACCCGUAUUGUACAAAUACUUUUUUCUAUUCAAUAUUUAGAAGACAUUGCAUUAAAUAGCAAGAUGGCAGAUGAACAUCAGGAAGGAACAUUAGGAACAUCCACGGUGUUCCAUCCAGGAACCUUCACCAUGGAAACCCUUGUGCUCAUGGGCCUGGUCUCAAGACGCAGUCAGCUGUUGGGGAUCAGAGGCCGCACUCAUCGUAGCAGAGAGGCAGGACCAGCUGGGAGAGGGUCCUUCUGUGACACCAAGCAUCACCGGGCUGUGGGAAGUGACUCAGCUGCCAGAACUCACACAAUAUCAUUCUGCACCAAAACCUCACGGGAAAAAUGCUCCAUGACCCUCAGACUUAAACAGCAGCACUGGCUCCUCCCCAGAUCUCCAGCUCCCUGACCCUCAAACUCCAACUCCAGCACCAGCUCCGCCCGGGUCUCCAGCUCCACCAUCCUCAAACUACAACAGCAGCACCAGCUCCCGCGUGGAUCUCCAGCUCAAUGACUCUCAGACUUGGGAGGCAGCACCGGCUCCCCACCAAGACUCCAGCUCUACAACACUCAAACUAGAACAGCAGCACCGGCUACUCCCUGGCUCUCCAGCUCCCUCAAACUUCAACGAUAGCACUGGCUGUUCCCCGGGACCACCAGCUCCACAACCCUCAACUUACAUGGCGGUAGCACCAGCUCCUCCCUAGGUCUCCAGCUCCACGACCAUCAAACUUGAACCGCAACACCAGCUCCUCUUCAGCCUCCAGCUCCACAAUCCGCAAACAACAACAGCAACACCUGCGCCUCCCUGAAUCUCCAGCUCAACAACUCUCAGACAUGAGAGGCAGCACCAGCACCUCCCCAAGGCUCCAGUUCCACGACCCUCAGAUUUGAACAGCGGUAGCACCACCUCCCGUGCAGGUCUCCAGUUUCACGAACCUUAAACUAGAACAGCAGCACCAUCGCCUCCCUGGGUUUCCAGCUCCACGACCCUAAGACUUGAAUGACAGAACCAGGUCACCCCUAGGGCACCAGCUCCGAGACCCACAGAUUUGAAAGGCAGCGCCGGCUCUUCCCGGGAUCUCCAGCUCCACAGCCCUCAGACUAGAUCAGCACCACCGGCUCCCCUCUGGGUCUCCCUUCAGCUCCACAAUCCGUAGACAUGAACAAUAGCACCGGCUCCUCCCUGGGUCUCCAGCUUCACUCCCCUCAGACACAAACAGCAACAGCACCAGCUCCUCCCCCUGUCUCCAGUUCCACGAACCUCAAACUACAACAGCAGUACCAGCCUCUCCCCAGGCCUCCAGGUCCAAGACCCUCAAAAUACAAUGGCAUGACCGGCUCCUCCCUGGGUCUCCAGCUCCCAAACCCUCAAACUUCAAGUGACACACCGGACCCUCCCCACAGUUAAACAGCAGCACAGGCUCUUCCCCAAAUCUCCAGAUCCACGACCCUCUGACUUAAGUGCUUAAAGCACCGGCUCCUCCCAAGGUCUCCAGUUCCACGACAAUCAAACUAUACAGCAGCACUAGCUCCUCCCCAGGCCUACAGCUCCACCACCCGCACACUAGACACCGAGACUACCUCCUCCCCGCGCUCCAGCUACAUGACCCUCAGACUUGAAGAGCAGCAGCAGCUCCUCCCUGUACCUCAAGCCCCAUGACCCUCAGACUUGAACAAGAGCAACACCAGCUCCCCCACAGGGCUCCAGCUUCAGGACCCACAGAUAUAAACAGCAGCACCGGCUCUUCCUGAGACCUCCAGCUCCACUACCCUCAAACUGGAACACAGCACCAGCUCCUCCUUGGGUCUCCAGCUCCACGACCCUCACACUAGAACAGUAACACCGGUUCCUCCCUGGAUCUCCAGCUCAAUGACUCUCAGACUUGAAAGGCAGCACCGGCUCCUCACAAAGGUUCUGGCUCCAAGAUCCUCAAACUAGAAAAGCAGCAGCUGCUGUCCUUGGGUCUCCAGCUCUACCACCCUCAAAGUAGAAGAGCAGCCCUGACUCUUGCCUGAGUCUCCAGCUCCUCAAGUCUGAGGGUUGUAGAGCUGGAGACCCAGGGAGGAGUCAGUGCUGCUGUUCUAGUUUGAGGGUCGUGGAUCUGGAGACCCAGGGAGGAGUCAGCGCUGCUGUUCUAGUUUGAGGGUCGUGGAUCUGGAGACUCAGGGUGGAGCCGGUGCUGCUGUUCUAGCAUGAGGGUCGUGGAGCUGGAAGACCCCGAGAGGAGCUGCUGCUGCUGUCCUAGUUUGAAGAUCAUGGAGCUGGAGAACCGGGAAGGAGCCAUUUGAACAGCAGCGCCGGCUCCUCCCCAGGUCUCAGGCUCCAUGACCCUCAGACUUAAAAAGCCAUAGUACGGGCUUCACCCUGGGUCUUCAGCUCUACAGCCCUCAGACAUGAGGAGCAGCAACACCGCCUCCUCCCCCUGUCUCCAGUUCCAUGAACCUCAAACUACAACAGCAGUACCGGCCUCUCCCCAGGUCUCCAGAUACACGACCCUCAAAAUAAAAUGGCAUCACCGGCUCCUCCCUGGUUCUCCAGCUCCCAAACCCUCAAACUUCAACUGACACACCGGAUCCUCCCCACAGUUAAACAGCAACACGGGCUGUUCCCCAAAGCUCCAGAUCUACGACCCCCUGACUUAAAUGGCGGUAACACCAGCUCCUCCCUAAGUCUCCAGUUCCACGACCCUCAAACUACACAGCAGCACCGGCUCCUCCCCAGGUCUACAGCUCCACCACCCUCACACUAGACACCGAGACUACCCCCUCCCUACUCUUCUGCUACACGAUCCUUAGACUUGAACAGCAGCAGCGGCUCCUCCCUGUACCUCAAGCCCCGUGACCCUCAGACCUGAACAACAGCAACAACAGCUCCCUCCGGUGUCUCCAGCUCCAUAACCUUCAGCCAUAAACAACAGCAGCACCAGCUUCCCCUCCCCCAGUAUCUCCAGCUCCACCACCCUCAUACUAGAACAGCACCAGUCCUCCCUGUGUCUCCGGCUCCAUGAUCCUCAACCUACAACAGCAACACCGGCUCCUCCCUGGAUCUCCAGCUCAACAACUCUCAGACUUGAGAGGCAGCACCGGCAACUCCCCAAGGCUCCAGCUCCACCACCCUCAGAUUUGAACAGCAGUAGCACCACCUCCUAUCCACGUCUCCAGCUUCAUGAACCUUAAACUAGAAAAGCAGCACCGCUGCCUCCCUGGGUUUUCAGCUCCAAGAACCUAAGACACGAAUGGCAGAACUGGCUCCCCCGCAGAGCUCCAGCUCCAGGACCCACAGAUUUCAAUGCGAGCACCAGCUCCUCCCGGGAUCUCUACCUCCACUACUCUCAAACUAGAACAGCAGCACCAGCUCCUCCCCCUGUCUCCACUUCCAUGACCCUCAAACUACAACAGCAGUACCAGACUCUCCCCAGGUCUCCAGAUACACGACCCUCAAAAUACAAUGGCAUCACCGGCUGCUCCCUGGGUCUCCAGCUCCCAAACCCUCAAACUUCAAUUGACACACUGGAUCCUCCCCACAGUUAAACAGCAGCACAGGCUGUUCCCCAAAACUCCAGAUCCACGACCUUCUGACUUAAAUGGCGGUAGCAUUGGUUCCUCCCUAGGUCUCCAGUUCCAUGACCCUCAAACUCCACAGCAGCACCGGCUCCUCCCCAGGUCUACAGCUCCACCACCCUCACACUAGACACCGAGACUACCUCCUCCUCUACACGACCCUCAGACUUGAACAGAGGCAGCAACGCCUCUCUGUACCUCAAGCCCCAUGACCCUCAGAUUUGAACAACAGCAACACCAUCUGCCCCCCAGGGCUCCAGCUCCAGAACCCACAGAUUUAAACACCAGCACCAG
ensembl:lncRNA